ensembl:lncRNA
CAGACAUGUUAUAAAUGCUGGUGAAGGACCAGAGGGACACAGACAUGUUAUAAAUGCUGGUGAAGGACCAGAGGGACAGGAGACAGACAUGUUAUAAAUGCUGGUGAAGGACCAGAGGGACACAGACAUGUUAUAAAUGCUGGUGAAGGACCAGAGGGACACAGACAUGUUAUAAAUGCUGUUGAAGGACUAGAGGGACACAGACAUGUUAUAAAUGCUGGUGAAAGACCAGAGGGAUACAGACAUGUUAUAAAUGCUGGUGAAGGACCAGAGGGACACAUACAUGUUAUAAAUGCUGUUGAAGGACUAGAGGGACACAGACAUGUUAUAAAUGCUUGUGAAAGACCAGAGGGAUACAGACGUGUUAUAAAUGCUGGUGAAGGACCAGAGGGACACAGACAUGUUAUAAAUGCUGGUGAAGAACUAGAGGGACACAGACAUGUUAUAAAUGCUGG